rnacentral:misc_RNA from 1 species
GCAUAAUCCAAUAAUUGUAUUUAUAAACAUACAUAUUUUUUUACUUGUUACUUUAUUUUAAUAUUUGUUAAAAUUUAAAAAAUAUUUUUUAUUUAAAAUAAUUAUGUAAUAUCCUUUUAAUAAAGAUUUUUAUGAAAUAAAAGAAAAUUAAAAUUAAUAAUUUCGGUCAUCAAAUUAAAUUUUAUAAAAUCUAUGCUUUAUUUAUUUAUUAAUCAACUCUAAAUUUCAAGGGCUAUGGUAAAAGACUCAAGAACUCUGUUAACCAGUCACUUCUUGAUUCUUUUUUUGGGUCCACCUCCUUUUAAAAUGAAUUCUACAUUGCUUUCAAAUAUAUAUCAAUGCCUGCGAACAGAAAUUUACUUGUGUACUCCUAAAGCAUAUUAACUUAAUGCAUAAUAAUGCAUUUUAGGUGAAUUUAGUCAUACUUUUACCAAUAGCUUCAUGCUUUUUAAGCUUGAAUGAAAUUUUCAUUUUUUAUGUUAAUUGCUUAUAAAAACAAGAGAUUUGUUUAUUUGAAUAUACAAAAUCGUUAACCACUUUUUCAAUAAUACUAUUAAUCAUUAAUCAUGGUAAUAUUUGCUCUUAAAAUUAAAGCUAAACUCGAUAAUCUUAAGAAUUUACAACCUGCUGGAGGUCCUAAUAAUGGUUUACCAUAUUUUUUCAAGGUCAAGAAACGAAUUUUAUUUAUGUAAAUAUUUUAUUUAUUUUUAUUUAAUUUCAUUAAUAAUAUUUUUAAUAUAUUUUGUAUUACAGUUAAAAUGUACUCACUGUCAG